GCUACCAUGCAGUCGAGCGGGGGAUGUUGCUUCGGUAACUGACCUAGCGGCGGACGGGUGAGUAAUACUUAGGAAUCUGCCUAUUAAUGGGGGACAACAUCUCGAAAGGGAUGCUAAUACCGCAUACGCCCUACGGGGGAAAGCAGGGGAUCACUUGUGACCUUGCGUUAAUAGAUGAGCCUAAGUCGGAUUAGCUAGUUGGUGGGGUAAAGGCCUACCAAGGCGACGAUCUGUAGCGGGUCUGAGAGGAUGAUCCGCCACACUGGGACUGAGACACGGCCCAGACUCCUACGGGAGGCAGCAGUGGGGAAUAUUGGACAAUGGGGGGAACCCUGAUCCAGCCAUGCCGCGUGUGUGAAGAAGGCCUUAUGGUUGUAAAGCACUUUAAGCGAGGAGGAGGCUCUUUUGGUUAAUACCCAAGAUGAGUGGACGUUACUCGCAGAAUAAGCACCGGCUAACUCUGUGCCAGCAGCCGCGGUAAUACAGAGGGUGCGAGCGUUAAUCGGAUUUACUGGGCGUAAAGCGUGCGUAGGCGGCUUUUUAAGUCGGAUGUGAAAUCCCCGAGCUUAACUUGGGAAUUGCAUUCGAUACUGGGAAGCUAGAGUAUGGGAGAGGAUGGUAGAAUUCCAGGUGUAGCGGUGAAAUGCGUAGAGAUCUGGAGGAAUACCGAUGGCGAAGGCAGCCAUCUGGCCUAAUACUGACGCUGAGGUACGAAAGCAUGGGGAGCAAACAGGAUUAGAUACCCUGGUAGUCCAUGCCGUAAACGAUGUCUACUAGCCGUUGGGGUCUUUGAGACUUUAGUGGCGCAGCUAACGCGAUAAGUAGACCGCCUGGGGAGUACGGUCGCAAGACUAAAACUCAAAUGAAUUGAC
rnacentral:rRNA from 1 species